rnacentral:rRNA from 1 species
GACGAACGCUGGCGGCGUGCUUAACACAUGCAAGUCGAACGGUGAAGCGCCUUCCUUUUUGGUGGGUGUGGAUGAGUGGCGAACGGGUGAGUAACACGUGAGUAACCUGCCCCCUUCUUCUGGAUAACCGCAUGAAAGUGUGGCUAAUGCGGGAUAUUCUGGGUCUGUCGCAUGAUGGGUCUGGGAAAGAUAUUGUUUCGGUGGGGGAUGGGCUCGCGGCCUAUCAGCUUGUUGGUGGGGUGAUGGCCUACCAAGGCGGUGACGGGUAGCCGGCCUGAGAGGGUGGGCGGUCACACUGGGACUGAGACACGGCCCAGACUACUACGGGAGGCAGCAGUGGGGAAUAUUGCACAGUGGGCGCAAGCCUGAUGCAGCGACGCCGCGGGAGGGAUGGAGGCCUUCGGGUUGUGAACCUCUUUCGCCAGUGAAGCAGGCCUGCCUCGUUUGUGGGUGGGUUGACGGUAGCUGGAUAAGAAGCGCCGGCUAACUACGUG